rnacentral:misc_RNA from 1 species
CAUUGAAGGACCAAGGGUUUUGCAGAUGGAACUACACCAUAAGGUCACUGCACCAACGUACGAAGAACAACCUGAAGACAAUAUCUCAAGCCAAGAAGUUUUCUUCUUCAUCUGGUGCUGUAGUAUCUGAUAAAGUAAGGGAAUCCAGGCAGGCAGAGGAGUCUCUGAGGACAGUCAUGUACCUGAGUUGCUGGGGUCCUAACAACUGAGGCGCCUCUUCAUACCUUUAGAGUCUUGGCAUGUACAGAAUUUGAAGAUUUGGUUCUAUGGCCACAACUACCACAACUAAGUCCCUUGAGAAGAGAAGAAUGAUCAUUAAUUCUGAGCAAAUUUAGGACAGAGAUGAUCGACGUUUUGUAAAUUGUAG